GGCAGAACAACUGUGAAACGGUCC
rnacentral:siRNA from 1 species